rnacentral:rRNA from 1 species
CAAACUGGAGAUGGCGACCGGCGCACGGGUGAGUAACACGUAUCCAACCUGCCGAUAACUCGGGGAUAGCCUUUCGAAAGAAAGAUUAAUACCCGAUGGUAUAAUAAAACCGCAUGGUUUAAUUAUUAAAGAAUUUCGGUUAUCGAUGGGGAUGCGUUCCAUUAGGCAGUUGGUGAGGUAACGGCUCACCAAACCUUCGAUGGAUAGGGGUUCUGAGAGGAAGGUCCCCCACAUUGGAACUGAGACACGGUCCAA